CUGAUUACCUUGUACCCCAAGAAGUUCCAUUUCAAUUUCAAUUUCAAGAUAUGAGCAAGAAUGACAACAACAUGCCAAUGAACCAUACCAAUAAUAACCUUCAAAUGCCUCAAAUCACAUCUUUCUCCAAGCCUCCAAGGUCCUCAUCAAAUCUAAGCAACCGCAAACCCUCCUUGAAAAACAUCACAAUCCCUUCCAUAACCUCUGGUCUUGCAACAGCUAUGUCACAAACAACAGCAACAACAACAACAAUAGCUACAACCAUGUAUAACAACAACCAAGUUUCUUCUUCUUCUUUUUCUU
rnacentral:lncRNA from 1 species